rnacentral:rRNA from 1 species
GAUUUACAUUUGAGUGAGUGGCGAACUGGUGAGUAACACGUGGGAAACCUGCCCAGAAGCGGGGGAUAACACCUGGAAACAGAUGCUAAUACCGCAUAACAACUUGGACCGCAUGGUCCGAGCUUGAAAGAUGGCUUCGGCUAUCACUUUUGGAUGGUCCCGCGGCGUAUUAGCUAGAUGGUGGGGUAACGGCUCACCAUGGCAAUGAUACGUAGCCGACCUGAGAGGGUAAUCGGCCACAUUGGGACUGAGACACGGCCCAAACUCCUACGGGAGGCAGCAGUAGGGAAUCUUCCACAAUGGACGAAAGUCUGAUGGAGCAACGCCGCGUGAGUGAAGAAGGGUUUCGGCUCGUAAAACUCUGUUGUUAAAGAAGAACAUAUCUGAGAGUAACUGUUCAGGUAUUGACGGUAUUUAACCAGAAAGCCACGGCUAACUACGUGCCAGCAGCCGCGGUAAUACGUAGGUGGCAAGCGUUGUCCGGAUUUAUUGGGCGUAAAGCGAGCGCAGGCGGUUUUUUAAGUCUGAUGUGAAAGCCUUCGGCUCAACCGAAGAAGUGCAUCGGAAACUGGGAAACUUGAGUGCAGAAGAGGACAGUGGAACUCCAUGUGUAGCGGUGAAAUGCGUAGAUAUAUGGAAGAACACCAGUGGCGAAGGCGGCUGUCUGGUCUGUAACUGACGCUGAGGCUCGAAAGUAUGGGUAGCAAACAGGAUUAGAUACCCUGGUAGUCCAUACCGUAAACGAUGAAUGCUAAGUGUUGGAGGGUUUCCGCCCUUCAGUGCUGCAGCUAACGCAUUAAGCAUUCCGCCUGGGGAGUACGGCCGCAAGGCUGAAACUCAAAGGAAUUGACGGGGGCCCGCACAAGCGGUGGAGCAUGUGGUUUAAUUCGAAGCUACGCGAAGAACCUUACCAGGUCUUGACAUACUAUGCAAAUCUAAGAGAUUAGACGUUCCCUUCGGGGACAUGGAUACAGGUGGUGCAUGGUUGUCGUCAGCUCGUGUCGUGAGAUGUUGGGUUAAGUCCCGCAACGAGCGCAACCCUUAUUAUCAGUUGCCAGCAUUAAGUUGGGCACUCUGGUGAGACUGCCGGUGACAAACCGGAGGAAGGUGGGGAUGACGUCAAAUCAUCAUGCCCCUUAUGACCUGGGCUACACACGUGCUACAAUGGAUGGUACAACGAGUUGCGAACUCGCGAGAGUAAGCUAAUCUCUUAAAGCCAUUCUCAGUUCGGAUUGUAGGCUGCAACUCGCCUACAUGAAGUCGGAAUCGCUAGUAAUCGCGGAUCAGCAUGCCGCGGUGAAUACGUUCCCGGGCCUUGUACACACCGCCCGUCACACCAUGAGAGUUUGUA